UUUCUUAAACCCUAUUCAUGGGUGGAGCCUAAUUUCAAGAAAUUGAAAGAGAGUUGUUAUGUGAAUCUUUUAUCAGUACAGAUUACUUCACAACUUUUGAUUCGUUGUAGAAGUGUUAUGUAAAGAGAAUACUUAUAUUCUUUCAGCUUAUAUAUAUAAUUGCUAUUACUUGCUGGGCACUCAAAUGCUCAUCCUUGCUUAAAUUAAAUGUUUUCAGUUACGUACGAUUGACCUGAAGGCUCAUGCACGAACAAGGGAAAAGAAAAGCUAUUUGAAUGAGAUUUAGUAUGAGUUAAUGGUUAUAGUUAGUAAGACAAUGGAAUCUAUUGUCAGAUAUUGUAAGGAAUGUAUUUGAAGGUCACGUACCUGGGGAAGUAAACUUUGAUGUAUGUAAAUUAAGUGCGAAUGUAUUAUUAUUUAGUAUUAUUCAGCUUAAAGAAAUGGUAUCGUGGAGAACCGAGUUCGGGUUUCAAGUACUUGGAUUUGGGGUCGCCACAGUUGUCCUUUUCAAAGAAAU
rnacentral:lncRNA from 1 species